rnacentral:misc_RNA from 1 species
GAUGAAGAACGUAGCGAAAUGCGAUAAGUAGUGUGAAUUGCAGAAUUCAGUGAAUCAUCGAAUCUUUGAACGCACAUUGCGCCCCUUGGUAUUCCAUGGGGCAUGCCUGUUCGAGCGUCAUUUGUACCUUCAAGCCUUGCUUGGUGUUGGGUGUUUGUCUCGCCUCUGCGCGCAGACUCGCCUCAAAACAAUUGGCAGCCGGCGUAUUGAUUUCGGAGCGCAGUACAUCUCGCGCUUUGCACUCAGAACGACGACGCCCAAAAGUACAUUUUUACACUCUUGACCUCGGAUCAGGUAGGGAUACCCGCUGAACUUAAGCAUAUCAAUAAGCGGAGGA